rnacentral:rRNA from 1 species
GACGAACGCUGGCGGCGUGCUUAACACAUGCAAGUCGAACGGAAAGGCCCUGCUUUUGUGGGGUGCUCGAGUGGCGAACGGGUGAGUAACACGUGAGUAACCUGCCCUUGACUUUGGGAUAACUUCAGGAAACUGGGGUUAAUACCGGAUAGGAGCUCCUGCUGCAUGGUGGGGGUUGGAAAGUUUCGGCGGUUGGGGAUGGACUCGCGGCUUAUCAGCUUGUUGGUGGGGUAGUGGCUUACCAAGGCUUUGACGGGUAGCCGGCCUGAGAGGGUGACCGGCCACAUUGGGACUGAGAUACGGCCCAGACGCCUACGGGAGGCAGCAGUGGGGAAUAUUGCACAAUGGGCGGAAGCCUGAUGCAGCAACGCCGCGUGCGGGAUGACGGCCUUCGGGUUGUAAACCGCUUUCGCCUGUGACGAAGCGUGAGUGACGGUAAUGGGUAAAGAAGCACCGGCUAACUACGUG